rnacentral:rRNA from 1 species
GUGGGGAAUUUUGGACAAUGGGCGAAAGCCUGAUCCAGCAAUGCCGCGUGCAGGAUGAAGGCCUUCGGGUUGUAAACUGCUUUUGUACGGAACGAAACGGUCCGGGUUAAUACCCUGGGCUAAUGACGGUACCGUAAGAAUAAGCACCGGCUAACUACGUGCCAGCAGCCGCGGUAAUACGUAGGGUGCAAGCGUUAAUCGGAAUUACUGGGCGUAAAGCGUGCGCAGGCGGUUUUGUAAGACAGGCGUGAAAUCCCCGGGCUCAACCUGGGGAUUGCGCUUGUGACUGCAAGGCUGGAGUGCGGCAGAGGGGGAUGGAAUUCCGCGUGUAGCAGUGAAAUGCGUAGAUAUGCGGAGGAACACCGAUGGCGAAGGCAAUCCCCUGGGCCUGCACUGACGCUCAUGCACGAAAGCGUGGGGAGCAAACAGGAUUAGAAACCCCAGUAGUCC